rnacentral:rRNA from 1 species
UACGAAGGGUGCCAGCGUUACUCGGAAUUACUGGGCGUAAAGAAUGCGUAGGCGGGCUUGCAAGUUGGAAGUGAAAUCCCUGGGCUCAACCUAGGAACUGCUUUCAAAACUGCAAGUCUUGAAUAUGAUAAUGAGUAGGGGAAUUCCUGGUGUAGGGGUAAUAUCCGUAGAUAUCAGGAGGAAGACCGGAAGCGAAAGCGCUUACUUAGAUCAUUAUUGACGCUGAUGCAUGAAAGCGUGGGGAGCAAACAGG